GUGAAUCAUCGAAUCUUUGAACGCAAAUUGCACUCCCUGGUAUUCCGGGGAGUAUGCCUGUUUGAUGGUCGUUAGAUUAAAAAAUCGAGGAGUCGCUUUUUUUUUUAAGGGUGAUCGUGUUGGAUUUGAGUAUUCUUUCAAAUUUUAAUUCAUGUUAAAGUGGCUUCAAAUUCAUCCAUCCGUUACGAUUAAAGCGUAUUUCAGAUCAAUUUUGAUCAAUAACGCGUGAUGACGUACAAUCCCAUGUAGUACGUUUGAU
rnacentral:misc_RNA from 1 species